UACGAAGGGGGCGAGCGUUCUUCGGAAUCACUGGGCGUAAAGCGUGCGUAGGUGGCUAUGUAAGUUAGAAGUGAAAGCCCAGGGCUCAACCCUGGAAUUGCUUUUAAAACUACAUAGCUUGAAUGUCGGAGAGGAUAGCGGAAUUUCCAGUGUAGCAGUGAAAUGCGUAGAUAUUGGAAGGAACACCAGUGGCGUAAGCGGCUAUCUGGACGACGAUUGACACUGAGGCACGAAAGCGUGGGGAGCAAACAGG
rnacentral:rRNA from 1 species